UCUACUGGCCAUACCACCCUGAAUGCGCCCGAUCUCGUCUGAUCUCAGAAGCUAAGCAGGGUCAGGCCUGGUUAGUACUU
rnacentral:rRNA from 1 species